GGUUAAGUGACUAAGCGUACACGGUGGAUGCCUUGGCAGUCAGAGGCGAUGAAAGACGUAGUAACUUGCGAUAAGCCCAGAUUAGGUAGUAACAACCAUUUGAGUCUGGGAUUUCUGAAUGGGGAAACCCACGUGCAUAAGCACGUAUCCUUACCUGAAUACAUAGGGUAAGGAGGCGAACCGGGGGAACUGAAACAUCUAAGUACCCCGAGGAAAAGAAAUCAACCGAGAUUCCGAAAGUAGCGGCGAGCGAAAUUGGACUAGCCCUUAAGCUUUACACGCGUUAGACGAACGGUCUGGAAAGUCCGACGAUACAGGGUGAUAGUCCCGUAGUUGACGACGUGUGUUCAGUGAAAUCGAGUAGGGCGGGACACGUGAUAUCCUGUCUGAAUAUGGGGGGACCAUCCUCCAAGGCUAAAUACUACUGACUGACCGAUAGUGAACCAGUACCGUGAGGGAAAGGCGAAAAGAACCCCUGUGAGGGGAGUGAAAUAGAACCUGAAACCGUGUACGUACAAGCAGUAGGAGCAGGCUUUGUCCUGUGACUGCGUACCUUUUGUAUAAUGGGUCAGCGACUUAUAUUCAGUGGCAAGGUUAACCAUCUAGGGGAGCCGUAGGGAAACCGAGUCUUAACUGGGCGUUCAGUCUCUGGAUAUAGACCCGAAACCAGGUGAUCUAGCCAUGGGCAGGUUGAAGGUUGAGUAACAUCAACUGGAGGACCGAACCGACUAAUGUUGAAAAAUUAGCGGAUGACUUGUGGCUAGGGGUGAAAGGCCAAUCAAACCUGGAGAUAGCUGGUUCUCCCCGAAAGCUAUUUAGGUAGCGCCUCGGACGAAUACUACUGGGGGUAGAGCACUGUUAAGGCUAGGGGGUCAUCCCGACUUACCAACCCUUUGCAAACUCCGAAUACCAGUAAGUACUAUCCGGGAGACACACGGCGGGUGCUAACGUCCGUCGUGGAGAGGGAAACAACCCAGACCGCCAGCUAAGGUCCCAAAUUACUACUAAGUGGGAAACGAUGUGGGAAGGCUCAGACAGCCAGGAUGUUGGCUUAGAAGCAGCCAUCAUUUAAAGAAAGCGUAAUAGCUCACUGGUCGAGUCGGCCUGCGCGGAAGAUGUAACGGGGCUAAGUAGUAAACCGAAGCUGCGGCAAUGUGCUUUUGCACAUUGGGUAGGGGAGCGUUCUGUAAGCGGUUGAAGGUGUGUGGUAACGCAUGCUGGACGUAUCAGAAGUGCGAAUGCUGACAUGAGUAACGAUAAAGGGGGUGAAAAACCUCCUCGCCGGAAGACCAAGGGUUCCUGUCCAACGUUAAUCGGGGCAGGGUAAGUCGACCCCUAAGGCGAGGCCGAAAGGCGUAGUCGAUGGGAAACGGGUUAAUAUUCCCGUACUUCUUACAAUUGCGAUGGGGGGACGGAGAAGGCUAGGUGGGCCUGGCGACGGUUGUCCAGGUUCAAGUGCGUAGGCUUAAGAGUUAGGUAAAUCCGGCUCUUUUUAAGGCUGAGACACGACGUCGAGCACCUACGGGUGUGAAGUCAUUGAUGCCAUGCUUCCAGGAAAAGCCUCUAAGCUUCAGAUUGUAAGGAAUCGUACCCCAAACCGACACAGGUGGUCGGGUAGAGAAUACCAAGGCGCUUGAGAGAACUCGGGUGAAGGAACUAGGCAAAAUGGUACCGUAACUUCGGGAGAAGGUACGCUCUUGAUGGUGAAGUCCCUUGCGGAUGGAGCUGACGAGAGUCGCAGAUACCAGGUGGCUGCAACUGUUUAUUAAAAACACAGCACUGUGCAAAAUCGUAAGAUGACGUAUACGGUGUGACGCCUGCCCGGUGCCGGAAGGUUAAUUGAUGGGGUUAGACUUCGGUCGAAGCUCUUGAUCGAAGCCCCGGUAAACGGCGGCCGUAACUAUAACGGUCCUAAGGUAGCGAAAUUCCUUGUCGGGUAAGUUCCGACCUGCACGAAUGGCGUAAUGAUGGCCACGCUGUCUCCACCCGAGACUCAGUGAAAUUGAAAUCGCUGUGAAGAUGCAGUGUACCCGCGGCUAGACGGAAAGACCCCGUGAACCUUUACUACAGCUUGGCACUGAACAUUGACCCUACAUGUGUAGGAUAGGUGGGAGGCUUUGAAGCAGGUACGCCAGUAUCUGUGGAGCCGUCCUUGAAAUACCACCCUUGUAGUGUUGAUGUUCUAACGUCGACCCCUUAUCGGGGUUGCGGACAGUGCCUGGUGGGUAGUUUGACUGGGGCGGUCUCCUCCCAAAGAGUAACGGAGGAGCACGAAGGUGGGCUAAUCACGGUUGGACAUCGUGAGGUUAGUGCAAUGGCAUAAGCCCGCUUGACUGCGAGAAUGACAAUUCGAGCAGGUGCGAAAGCAGGUCAUAGUGAUCCGGUGGUUCUGAAUGGAAGGGCCAUCGCUCAACGGAUAAAAGGUACUCCGGGGAUAACAGGCUGAUACCGCCCAAGAGUUCAUAUCGACGGCGGUGUUUGGCACCUCGAUGUCGGCUCAUCACAUCCUGGGGCUGAAGUCGGUCCCAAGGGUAUGGCUGUUCGCCAUUUAAAGUGGUACGCGAGCUGGGUUUAGAACGUCGUGAGACAGUUCGGUCCCUAUCUGCCGUGGGCGUUGGAAGAUUGAAGGGGGCUGCUCCUAGUACGAGAGGACCGGAGUGGACGAACCUCUGGUGUUCGGGUUGUGUCGCCAGACGCAUUGCCCGGUAGCUAAGUUCGGAAUCGAUAACCGCUGAAAGCAUCUAAGCGGGAAGCGAGCCCUGAGAUGAGUCUUCCCUGAUACUUUAAGUAUCCUAAAGGGUUGUCGGAGACUACGACGUUGAUAGGUCAGGUGUGUAAGUGCUGUGAGGCAUUGAGCUAACUGAUACUAAUUGCCCGUGAGGCUUAACCAU
rnacentral:rRNA from 1 species